rnacentral:snRNA from 1 species
GCAGGAGCUGGCUGCAAUAUCUAGCAUCCCGUUGAUCACCAGAGUUGAUUCAAUUGCUCUGGCCAGCUAGACAGGUGUCCCCUUCCUCCCUCAUUGCUCCAUGUGCAUCCCUCUUGAAGCUGUGUGUUCAGUAGAAGAGGACAACCACCGCGGAUAGGAGUGUACCGAUCUUUGGUCAACGGUAUAUGAUAGCUACGCUCCCCUGCUAGAACCUCCAAAUAAAUCAAAUUAAUGAAUAAGCCAUAUAAAAUUGUCAUUCUAAAUAUGCUUACUUGGGAAUAAGUCCCACUGAAAAUUGUG